CUUGUCAAGGUAUGUACUCAUUGAAAAAACUUAUCAAGCAUCUUGAUCUAUCUCUAUAGAUCUUGAUGCUCAAUAUGUAAGCAGCUUCACCAAGGCCUUUCUUUGAAAAAAUCCUUUCAAACACUCCUUUAUGCUUUGCAGAAUAAUUCUACAUUAUUUCCGAUCAACAAUAUGUCAUACACAUAUACUUAUCAGAAAUGUUGUAGUGCUCCCACUCACUUUCUUGUAAAUACAGGCUUCACCGCAAGUCUGUAUAAAACUAUAUGCUUUGAUCAACUUAUCAAAGCGUAUAUUCCAACUCCGAGAUGCUUGCACCAGUCCAUAGAUGGAUCGCUGGAGCUUGCAUAUUUUGUUUAGCACCUUUAGGAUUGACAAAACUUUCUGGUUGCAUCAUAUACAACUCUUCUUUAAAUCCAUUAAGGAAUGUAGUUUUGUUUAUCCAUUUGCCAUAUUUCAUAAAAAUGCGGCAAUUGCUAACAUGAUUUGGAUAGACUUAAGCAUCGCUACGAGUGAGAAAAUUUCAUCAUAGUCAACACCUUGAACUUUGUCAAAAACCUUUUUCGACAAGUCUAACUUUGUAGAUAGUAACACUACUAUCAGCGCCCGUCUUCCUCUUGAAGAUCCAUUUAUUUUCUAUGGCUUGCCGAUCAUCGGGCAAAUCCAUCAAAGUCCAUACUUUGUUCUCAUACAUGGAUCAUAUCUCAGAUUUCAUGGCCUCAAACCAUUUCGCGGAAUCUGGGCUCAUCAUCGCUUCCUCAUAGUUCGCAAGUUCGUCAUGGUCUAGUAACAUGACUUCCAGAACAGGAUUACCGUACCACUCUGGUGUGGAUCUCACUCUGGUUUACCUACGAGAUUCGGUAGUGACUUGAUCUGAAGUUACAUGAUCAUCAUCAUUAGCUUCCUUACUAAUUGGUGUAAUAGUCACAAGAACAGAUUUCUGUGAUGAACUACUUUCCAAUAAGGGAGCAGGUACAGUUACCUCAUCAAGUUCUACUUUCCUCCCACUCACUUCUUUCGAGAGAAAUUCCUUCUCUAGAAAGGAUCCAUUCAAAGCAACGAAUAUCUAGCCUUCGGAUCUGUGAUAGAAGGUCUACCCAACAUUUUCUUUUUGGGUAUCCUAUGAAGACGCACUUCUCCGAUUUGGGUUUGAGCUUAUCAGGUUGAAACUUUUUCACAUAAGCAUUGCAACCUCAAACUUUAAGAAACGACAGCUUAGGUUUCUUGCCAAACCAUAGUUCAUACGGUGUCGUUUCAACGGAUUUAGAUGGUGCCCUAUUUAACGUGAAUGCAGUUGUCUCUAAUGCAUAAUCCCAAAACGAUAGUGGUAGAUUGGUAAGAGACAUCAUAGUUCACACCAUAUCUAAUAAAGUACGGUUAUGACGUUCGGACACACCAUUAUGCUGUGGUGUUCCAGGUGGCGUGAGUAGUGAAACUAUUUCACAUUGUUUUUAACUGAAGGCCAAACUCGUAACUCAAAUAUUUUACUUCUGCGAUCAUAUCGUAGAAAUUUUUUUAUUUUUGUUACGAUGAUUCUCCACUUCACUCUGGAAUUCUUUGAACUUUUCAAAUGUUUCAGACUUGUGUUUCAUCAAGUAGAUAUACCCAUAUCUGCUCAAAUCAUCUGUGAAGGUCAGAAAAUAACGAUACCCGCCGUGAGCCUCAACACUCAUCGGAUCACAUACAUCAGUAUGUAUUAUUUCUAAUAAGUCAGUUGCUCGCUCCAUUGUUCCGGAGAACAGAGUCUUAGUCAUCUUUCCCAUAAGGCAUGGUUCGUAAGCAUCAAGUGAUUCAUAAUCAAGUGAUUCCAAAAUCCCAUCAGCAUGGAGUUUCUUCAUGCGCUUUACACCAAUAUGACCUAAACGGCAGUGCCACAAAUAAGUUGCAUUAUCAUUAUUAACUUUGCAUCUUUUGUCUUCAAUAUUAUGAAUAUGUGUAUCACUAUGAUCGAGAUCCAAUGAACCAUUUCAUUGGGUGUGUAACCAUAUAAGGUUUUAUUCAUGUAAACAGAACAACAAUUAUUCUCCAACUUAAAUGAAUAACCGUAUUGCAAUAAACAUGAUCAAAUCAUAUUCAUGCUCAAGGCAAACACCAAAUAACACUUAUUUAGGUUCAACACUAAUCCCGAAAGUAUAGGGAGUGUGCGAUGAUGAUCAUAUCAAUCUUGGAACUACUUCCAACACACAUCGUCACUUCACCCUUAACUAGUUUCUGUUCAUUCUGCAACUCCCGUUUCGAGUUACUACUCUUAGCAACUGAACCAGUAUCAAAUACCGAGGGGUUGCUACGAGCACUAGUAAAAUACACAUUAAUAAUCUGUAUAUCAAAUAUACCUUUGUUCACUUUGCCAUCCUUCUUAUCCGCCAAAUACUUGGGGCAGUUCCGCUUCCAGUGACCAAUCCCUUUGAAGUAGAAGCACUUAGUCUCAGGCUUAGGACCAGACUUGGGCUUCUUCACUUGAGCAGCAACUUGCUUGCUGUUCUUCUUGAAGUUCCCCUUCUUCCCUUUGCCCUUUUAUUGAAACUAGUGGUCUUGUCUACCAUCAACACUUGAUGCUCUUUCUUGAUUUCUACCUUCAUCGAUUUCAUCAUCAUGAAAAGCUCGGGAGUCGUUUUCGUCAUCCCUUGCAUACUAUAGUUCAUCACGAAGUUCUACUAACUUGGUGAUGGUGACUAGAGAAUUCUGUCAAUCACUAUCUUAUCUGGAAGAUUAACUCCCACUUGAUUCAAGCGAUUGUAGUACCUAGACAAUCUGAGCACAUGCUCACUAGUUGAGCGAUUCUCCUCCAUCUUUUGGCUAUAGAACUUGUUGGAGACUUCAUAUCUCUCAAUUCGGGUAUUUGCUUGAAAUAUUAACUUCAACUCCUGGAACAUCUCAUAUGGUCCAUGACGUUCAAAACGUCUUUUGAAGUCCCGAUUCUAAGCCGUUAAGCAUGGUGCACUAAACUAUUAAGUAGUCAUCAUAUUGAGCUACCCAAACAUUCAUAACGUCUGCAUCUGCUCCUGCAAUAGGUGUGUCACCUAGCCGUGCAUCAAGGACAUAAUUCUUCUGUGCAGCAAUGAGGAUAAACCUCAGAUCAUGGAUCCAAUCCGCAUCAUUGCUACUAACAUCUUUCAACACAAUUUUCUCUAGGAACAUAUCAAAAUAAACACAGGGAAGCAACAACACGAGCUAUUGAUCUACAACAUGAUUUGCAAAAUACUACCAGGACUAAGUUCAUGAUAAAUUUAAGUUCAAUUAAUCAUAUUACUUAAGAACUCCCACUUAGAUAGACAUCCCUCUAAUCCUCUAAGUGAUCACGUGAUCCAAAUCAACUAAACCAUGUCCGAUCAUCACGUGAGAUGGAGUAGUUUCAUUGGUGAACAUCACUAUGUUGAUCAUAUCUACUAUAUGAUUCAUGCUCGAUCUUUCGGUCUCCGUGUUCCGAGGCCAUAUCUGUAUAUGCUUGGCUCAUCAAGUAUAACCUGAGUAUUCCGCGUGUGCAACUGUUUUGCACCAGUUGUAUUUGAACGUAGAGCCUAUCACACCCGAUCAUCACGUGGUGUCUCAGCACGAAGAACUUCCGCAACGGUGCAUACUCAGGGAGAAAACUUCUUGAUAAUUAGUGAGAGAUCAUCUUAUAAUGCUACCGUCAAUCAAAACAAGAUAAGAUGCAUAAAAGAUAACCAUCACAUGCAAUCAAUAUAAGUGAUAUGAUAUGGCCAUCAUCAUCUUGUGCUUGUGAUCUCCAUCUUCGAAGCACCGUCGUGAUCACCAUCGUCACCGGCGCGACACCUUGAUCUCCAUCGUAGCAUUGUUGUCGUCUCGCCAAUCUUAUGCUUCCAUGACUAUCGCUACCGCUUAGUGAUAAAGUAAAGCAUUACAGCGCGAUUGCAUUGCAUACAAUAAAGCGACAACCAUAUGGCUCCUGCCAGUUGCCGAUAACUCGGUUACAAAACAUGAUCAUCUCAUACAAUAAAAUUUAGCAUCAUGUCUUGACCAUAUCACAUCACAACAUGCCCUGCAAAAACAAGUUAGACGUCCUCUACUUUGUUGUUGCAAGGUUUACGUGGCUGCUACAGGCUUAAGCAAGAACCAAUCUUACCUACGCAUCAAAACCACAACGAUAGUUUGUCAAGUUGGUGCUGUUUUAACCUUCGCAAGGACCGGGCGUAGCCACACUCGAUUCAACUAAAGUUGGAGAAACUGUCACCCGCAAGCCACCUAUGUGCAAAGCACGUCGGGAGAACCGGUCUCGCGUAAGCGUACGCGUAAUGUCGGUCCGGGCCACUUCGUCCAACAAUACCGCUGAACCAAAGUAUGACAUGCUGGUAAGCAAUAUGACUUAUAUCGCCCACAACUCACUUGUGUUCUACUCGUGCAUAUAACAUCAACAUAUAAAACCUAGGCUCGGAUGCCACUGUUGGGGAACGUAGUAAUUUCAAAAUUUUCCUACGCACACGCAAGAUCAUGGUGAUGCAUAGCAACAAGAGGGGAGAGUGUGAUCUACGUACCCUUGUAGAUCGACAACGGAAGCGUUUGGUUGAUGUAGUCGUACGUCUCCACGACCCGACCGAUCAAGCACCGAAACUACGGCACCUCCGAGUUCUAGCACACGUUCAGCUCGAUGACGAUCCCCGGACUCCGAUCCAGCAAAGUGUCGGGGAUGAGUUCCAUCAGCACGACGGCGUGGUGACGAUCUUGAUGCACUACCGUCGCAGGGCUUCGCCUAAGCACCGCUACAAUAUUAUCGAGGACUAUGGUGGAAGGGGGCACCGCACACGGCUAAGAAUAUGAUCACGUGGAUCAACUUGUGUGUCUAUGGGGUGCCCCCUGCCCCCAUAUGUAAAGGAGUGGAGGAGGGGAAGGCCGGCCCUCUCUAUGCACGCCCUAGGGGAGUCCUACUCCCAUCGGGAGUAGGAUUCCCCCUUUCCUAGUCCAACUAGGAGUCCUUCCAUGUAGUAGGAUUAGGAGACAAGGAAGGGGAAGAGGGAAGAGAAGGAAGGAGGGGGCGCAGCCCCUUCCCCUAGUCCAAUUCGGACUAGGCCUUGGGGGGGGGGGGGCGCGGCCUGCCUCUCCCUCUCCUCUAAAGCCCAAUAAGGCCCAUAUACUUCUUCUCCCGUAUUCCCGUAACUCCCCGGUACUCCGAAAAAUACCCGAACCACUCGGAACCUUUCCAAUAUUCAAAUAUAGUCGUCCAAUAUAUCAAUCUUUACGUCUCAACCAUUUCGAGACUCCUCGUCAUGUCCCCGAUCUCAUCCAGGACUCCGAACUCCUUCGGUACAUCAAAACUCAUAAACUCAUAAUAUAACUGUCAUCGAAACCUUAAGCGUGCGGACCCUACGGGUUCGAGAACAAUGUAGACAUGACCGAGACACAUCUCCAGUCAAUAAACAAUAGCGGAACCUGGAUCCUCAUAUUGGCUCCUACAUAUUCUACGAAGAUCUUUAUCAGUCAGACCGCAUAACAACAUACGUUGUUCCCUUUGUCAUCGGUAUGUUACUUGCCUGAGAUUCGAUCGUCGGUAUCUUAAUACCUAGUUCAAUCUCGUUACCGGCAAGUCUCUUUACUCAUUCCGUAAUACAUCAUCUCACAACUAACUCAUUAGUUGUAAUGCUUGCAAGGCUAUGUGAUGUGCAUUACCGAGAGGGCCCAGAGAUACCUCUCCGACAAUCGGAGUGACAAAUCCUAAUCUCGAAAUAUGCCAACCCAACAUGUACCUUUGGAGACACCUGUAGAGCUCCUUUAUAAUCACCCAGUUACGUUGUGACAUUUGGUAGCACACAAAGUGUUCCUCCGAUAAACGGGAGUUGCAUAAUCUCAUAGUCAUAGGAACAUGUAUAAGUGAUGAAGAAAGUAAUAGCAACUUACUAAACGAUCGAGUGCUAAGCUAACGGAAUGGGUCAAGUCAAUCACAUCAUUCUCCUAAUGAUGUGAUCCCGUUAAUCAAAUAACAACUCUUUGUCUAUGGUUAGGAAACAUAACCAUCUUUGAUUAAUGAGCUAGUCAAGUAGAGGCAUACUAGUGACACUCUGUUUGUCUAUGUAUUCACACAUGUAUUAUGUUUCCGGUUAAUACAAUUCUAGCAUGAAUAAUAAAGAUUUAUCAUGAAAUAAGGAAAUAAAUAAUAACUUUAUUAUUGCCUCUAGGGAAUAUUUCCUUCACAUAUACCUUCCUCAAAACAACCACCAUACCUACCUAUUAUGGCAUUAGUCAUUGCACAUCCCGGUACACCGCCGGAGGCAUUCAUAUAGAGUCAUAUCUUGUUCUAAGUAUUGAGUUGUAAUUCUUGAGUUGUAAGUAAAAAAGAAGUGUGAUGAUCAUCAUUAUUAGAGCAUUGUCCCAGUGAGGAAAGGAUGAUGGAGACUAUGAUUCCCCCACACGUCGGGAUGAGACUCCGGACGAAAAUAAAUAAAUAAAAGAGGCCAAAGAAGCCCAAAUAAAAAAAUUAAAAGAGGCCAAAGAAGCCCAAAUAAAAAAACUAAAAGAGGCCAAAGAAGCCCAAAUAAAAGAAAGAAAGAAAGAAAAGAGGCCUUAAAAAAGAGAAAAGGCCCAAAUAAAAAAAAUAAAAAAAUGAGAGAAAAAGAGAGAAGGGACAAUGCCACUAUCCUUUUACCACACUUGUGCUUCAAAGUAGCUCCAUGAUCUUCAUGAUAGAGAGUCUCCUAUGUUGUCACUUUCAUAUACUAGUGGGAAUUUUUCAUUAUAGAACUUGGCUUGUAUAUUCCAAUGACGAGCUUCCUCAAAAUGCACUAGGUCUUCGUGAGCAAGCGAGUUGGAUGUACACCGACUAGUUUCUUUUGUUGAGCUUUCCUAUACUUAUAGCUCUAGUGCAUCCGUUGCAUGGCAAUCCCUACUCACUCACAUUGAUAUCUAUUGAUGGGCAUCUCCAUAGCCCAUUGAUACGCCUAGUUGAUGUGAGACUAUCUUCUCCCUUUUUGUCUUCUCCACAAUCACCAUUCUAUUCCACCUAUAGUGCUAUAUCCAUGGCUCACGCUCAUGUAUUGCAUGAAGAUUGAAAAGGUUUGAGAACAUCAAAAGUAUGAAACAAUUGCUUGGCUUGUCAUCGGGGUUGUGCAUGAUUUAAAUAUGUUGUGUGGUGAAGAUGGAGCAUAGCCAGACUAUAUGAUUUUGUAGGGAUAACUUUCUUUGGCCAUGUUAUUUUGAAGAGACAUAAUUGCUUAGUUAGUAUGCUUGAAGUAUUAUUAUUUUUAUGUCAAUAUGAACUUUUGUCUUGAAUCUUAUGGAUCUGAAUAUUCAUGCCACAAUUAAGAAGAAUUACAUUGGAAUUAUGCCCACUAGCAUUCCACAUCAAAAAUUAUCUUUUUUAUCAUUUACCUACUCGAGGACGAGCAGGAAUUAAGCUUGGGGAUGCUUGAUACGUCUCCAACGUAUCUAUAAUUUUUGAUUGCUCCAUGCUAUAUUAUCUACUGUUUUGGGCAAUAUUGGGCUUUAUUUUCCACUUUUAUAUUACUUUUGGGACUAACCUAUUAACCGGAGGCCCAGCCCAGAUUUGCUGUUUUAUGCCUAUUUCAGUGUUUUGAAGAAAAGGAAUAUCAGACGGAGUCGAAACGGAAUGAAAUCAACUGGAGAAGUUAUUUUUGGAAGGAAACACACCUGAUGGACUUGGACCCCACGUCAGAAGAUACGGGAGCUGCCCACGAGGGUGGGGGCGCGCCCACCCCCUAGGGCGCGCCCCCUGCCUCGUGGGGCCCUCGUGGCUCCCCUGUCAUGCUUCUUCUGCCUAUAUAACUCCAUAUACCCUAAAACUUCCAGAACACACAAUAGAUCGGGAGUUCCGCCGCCAGAAGCCUCCGUAGCCACCGAAAACCAAUCUAGACCCGUUCCGGCACCCUGCCGGAGGGGGCAAUCCUUCUCCGGUGGCCAUCUUCAUCAUCCCGGUGCUCUCCAUGACGAGGAGGGAGUAGUUCUCCCUCGGGGCUGAGGAUAUGUACCAGUAGCUAUGUGUUUGAUCUCUCUCUCUCUCUCUCUCUCGUGUUCUUGAGAUGAUACGAUCUUGAUGUAUCGCGAGCUUUGCUAUUAUAGGUGGAUCCUAUGAUGUUUCUUCCCCCUCUUCUCUCUUGUAAUGAAUCGAGUUUCCCCUUUUGAAGUAAUCUUAUCGGAUUGAGUCUUUAAAGACUUGAGAACACUUGAUGUAUGUCUUGCCGUGGAUAUCUGUGGUGACAAUGGGAUACCACGUGCCACUUGAUGUAUGUUAAGGUGACCAACUUGCGGGUUUCGUGACAUUGGGAACCUAUGCAUAGGGGUUGGCACACGUUUUCAUUAUGAUUCUCCGGUAGAAACUUUGGGGCACUCUUUGAGGUUCUAUGUGUUGGUUGAAUAGAUGAAUCUGAGAUUGUGUGAUGCUUAUCGUAUAAUCAUACACACGGAUACUUGAGGUGACAUUGGAGUAUCUAGGUGACAUUAGGGUUUUGAUUGAUUUGUGUCUUAAGGUGUUAUUCUAGUACGAACUCUAGGGCUGUUUGUGACACUUAUAGGAAUAGCUCACCGGAUUGAUUGGAAAAAAUAACUUUGAGGUGGUUUCGUACCCUACCAUAAUCUCUUCGUUCGUUCUCCGCUAUUAGUAACUUUGGAGUGACUCUUUGUUGCAUGUUGAGGGAUAGUUUUAUGAUCCAAUUAUGUUAGUAUUGUUGAGGGAACUUACACUAGCGAAAGUAUGAACCCUAGGCCUUGUUUCCACACAUUGCAAUACCGUUUACGCUCACUUUUAUCACUUGCUACCUAGCUGUUUUUAUAUUUUCAGAUUACAAAAACUAUUAUCUAGUAUCCUUAUACCACUUGUAUCACCAUCUCUUCGCCGAACUAGUGCACCUAUACAAUUUACCAUUGUAUUGGGUGUGUUGGGGGUACAAGAGACUCUUUGUUAUUUGGUUGCAGGGUUGCUUGAGAGAGACCAUCUUCAUCCUACUCCUCCUACGGAUUGAUAAACCUUAGGUCAUCCACUUGAGGGAAAUUUGCUACUGUCCUACAAACCUCUGCACUUGGAGGCCCAACAACGUCUACAAGAAGAAGGUUGUGUAGUAGACAUCAAGGACUGGAGUGUCGGUUCAGCCAUGUGCGGUGGACCCGUCAUGUUUGAAUAACACUCCGCCUCAAUAUGUUCCGACGUCUCCGGGUCACUAUUCUAACCCUUUGGACAAUAUGAUUGUUGCGGUAACGCGAUUGGCGGCUCUACCAGUUGAAGGUGAAUCUCCAACGGCGAUCGAGACACGGAGGGUCAGAGAGCUUCUCCAGAUGGCUGUGGCUCAACAGGCGGCUUAUUCUUACAGCCGCGAGCGGAUUCACUCAACCCCUCAUCCAAGCCUGAGUUAUAGCAGGCACAUUGACUCGCCGGAAGUUUCAAGCAGUGAACAGCGCCAUAACCAGCCUCAGGGACAUGACCCGGUGCGCAGUGGUGCCAAUGCUCAGAGUUUAGUGGAUCAGGGCAGAGCGCGUCAGGAGGCCGAGCUGGCGGCUCAGCAAGCGGCUCAUCAAUAUUCUUUGGUUUAUCCGUUAGCUUCGGUGGAGGCAGGCAUGACCUCUAGAACCUUGGAUGUGCUAUGUCUAGUACCAGCUCUGCGUAACGAGCGUUUGCCCAAGGAUUUCAAGGGUCGUCGUAAGGUACCUAACUACAUAGUAGAUCAGCCCCCUGAAGCCUGGAUCGAAAGUUAUGAGAUGGUAAUGGAGAUGCUGUACAUCGGCGAUGCUGCAUGUGCUAAGUAUUUCACCAUGAUGUUGGAUGGGAUGGCUCGUACUUGGUUGAAAGGGCCGCCUUCUAACUCCAUUGGGUCAUGGGCUGAGUUAAAAGCCCGGUUUAUCCAGAACUUUAAAGAUACAUGCAAGCAGCCCAUGUCAAUUGUGGAUUUGGACUCCUAUGUCCAAGGCGAGGGCGAGUCAACAACCCAUUGGGUGCACCGGGUCUCGGCCAUCGUACAUUCAUCGGAUCAUAUCAAUGCCGGUUCUGCAGUUCUGAUGUUGGAGAAGAAUUGUCAUUUCAUGCCCCUUAAGCAGAAAUUAGGGCGACUUAAACGCCACUGCAGCGACAUGGGGGAGCUAAUGGCGGCUCUCCUCAAGUAUGCCGACUCUGAUAGUACCAAGGACCCCAAGUCUGAUGAUGAAAAUCCGGGAAAGGGAAAGAAGAGCGGCAACAUGAAAGGGCAACAGUAUAACCCAACUAGUCAGGGUGGCAAUGGUAAGCGCAAGGCUGAUAUAAAUUUGGAUUUCUUAGCUAACACCAAUAUGCAGAAUAAUGGUCAGCGCCGCAAGGGAAAGUCGCCCCCUCGGUUUGGAGGGCCAAAAUUCAAUAUUGAGGCGAUGAUGAAUCAGCCCUGCCCGAAACAUGGUACGAGGGAAAAGUUGGCCACUCACCUCUAGAAGGAUUGCUUCAUUAUGAUGGAGUAUAGAAAUUCCAAUUUUUCCGAGAACAAUCAUUAGUCGGACGGCGGCUCAGGGUCCGGCUCUCACGGUCCGGGUUAUGGUGGUGGCGCUUCUAACUCCGGUUUCCAGGGCCAAGGCAAUCAAGGUGGUUUUAAUCAACAGUGUGGUCAAGGGGAUCAGCAGUAGCAGUCUGGUUACCAGAGUAACCCAAAACAGUUGAACAGUGGGCAGUACCACGUUUUCACCACAAGUUUAUGCAAGCGGGAUCAGAAACUCCAUAAGAGGGCAGUGAACGCAGUUGAGCCGGCGAUUCCCCGUUAUCUGCGAUGGUCUAAACACCCUAUUCUCUGGAGUCGUGAGGAUCACCCUGAAGGAAAUAUGCCCUAGAGACAAUAAUAAAGUUUUUAUUUAUAUUUCCUUAUAUCAUGAUAAAUGUUUAUUAUUCAUGCUAGGAUUGUAUUAACAGAAACUUAGUACAUGUGUGAAUACAUAGACAAACAGAGUGUCACUAGUAUGCCUCUACUUGACUAGCUCGUUAAUAAAAAUGGUUAAGUUUCCUAGCCAUAGACAUGAGUUGUCAUUUAAUGAACGGGAUCACAUCAUUAGAGAAUGAUGUGAUUGACAUGACCCAUCCGUUAGCUUAGCACUAUGAUCGUUUAGUUUAUUGUUAUUGCUUUCUUCAUGACUUAUACAUGUUCCUAUAACUAUGAGAUUAUGCAACUCCCGAAUACCGGAGGAACACUUAGUAUGCUAUCAAACGUCACAAGUAACUGGGUGAUUAUAAAGAUGCACUACUACAGGAUGCUGCUAACGCGACACUACGAUCAGAGACCCUUCGAGAAACUGUGUGCGAUGCAAUAAUAGCAAACGGUGCUGUAUGAAAACCGUCAGAAAUGUAUAAAACGUUUGUAAUGACGGAUGCAUCAAACACGGUUCAGGUUUUAUUUGCGUGUACGAUGAAGGGCAUACGAUUCAGUUUAAUGAACUGUUUGUGAUGAGGAGGAACAAAAGAAACGGGCAGCCAGAUGAAGGCAUGUGCGAUACAUAGCAUACGGUUCACUCGGAUGAACUGUUUAUGAUUAGGCAACAUAAAAGAAACGGUUAGCUAGAUCAAGCUUUGUGCGAUAUACGACAUGCGGUUCACUCGGAUGAACUGUUUGCAUUGAGACAUGCGAACAGAAACGGUUCAACUUAACAAGAUGUGUGUGAUACGCGGCAAACAUGUCUGUAAUACAUAAACAUUAUUCUGAUCACAACCUUAACUGCCUGAGUAACGCGCCUGAACUUUCCUCUGUACGAACACGACCUUCGGGCUAUCUUCGCAACCGUGGCUUCCCCCGCGAAUUAUUCUUGUUAGUCAUGUUCUCUAUGAUGUUAGUGUAAUCUAGAAACAUUUUUAGCAACUAAAUACCGGUUUUAAAUAGGAAUCUCGCUCAUUGGCGGAUUUUGCUCUCGGGUCGUGAUGAAAUUGCGUUUUUUGUAAUUUUACUGCCUGACUUGUUGGACAUGAACUUCUCCCAGUGCUAGGUUGAACUUGCGCCAAUAUUGCCCAAAUGGGGCUUGCAAUAUACCGUUGGAAAGCUAUGGACACCAGUAUCAUGACCCAAGUUAAAAUUUUGGCAAAAUAUAAGUGGUUUAAGAGCAAUUUUGAAAACCAUUUUUUCUUCAUACAAAAAACGUGAAUCGUAUUUUCGAUCGCAUUUUUAAACUGUUUAUCGGAAUGAGGCAAAUAAUAUGGCGUUGGAAAGCUGCUGGAAAACCGCUCCUUCCACAUAUUGAAAGUUUUCUCUAAUUCCCUGCGGUUAGAGAGUAAUUUGGAAAAUCGUAAAAUUUCACAAACCAAACAGCCGAGUUCGUAUUUUCGAUGUCAUUUCUAAACGGCUAAUCCAAUCGAGGCAAAUGAUAUGGCGUUGGAAAGCUUAUGAAAAUGCGCUACUUUUUAAUGUAGAAAGCUUUUUCUAAUUUUGAAAGGUUUAAGAGUAAUUUAGAAAAUGCGCUACUUUUUCAUGUAGAAAGUUGUUUCUACUUUUCCUUAGCUUUUUGGUAUAUAUUGUUUCUCCCAAUUCCUUACUGUUUUAAGUCAAUUUUAAAAAUGGCUAAAAAUGUAUUUUCACCGUAAUUUCUACAAACUUUAUCGGAAUGGGGCAAAUAAUAUACCGUUGAAAAGCUAAGGAAAAUGCGAAACUUUUUCAUGUUGAUGGUUUUCUGUGAUUCCUAGCCGUUUUCAAGUAAUUUCGAAAAUGGCAAGAUCAUUCGUUCUGACUUUAUCGCGAAACAGAUUCUUCGAAAAUGCACCACUUGAAGAGCCUGAACUUCUCGGCAUGUCUAGUUGAACUUCACUCUAUUUUGCACGUGCUUUUUUUGCUCGUAGAUCUCCAACCACUGCUCGUAGCUCUCCAUCCACUCACCGAAAUUGAGCAAGUGAUAUACCGAUGAAAGCUGUUGUAAACACGCAACUUUCUCGUGUUGAUCAUUUUUUCAUACUCGCGACAAUUUUAAAAGUUUUUCAUCUGAUAUUCAUUCAGUGUAGUAGGUGAACUUCCUGUUGUUUUCACGUUGAACUUCUGUGACGUAUUUUUCAUUUGUAAUUUUCUCAUCCAUUUGUCAAGUGUUACACAAAUGGUAUUUCUUUUGUAUAAACCACUCUCACAAUAUUUUUUCUAACUUUCUCCGGUGGAGGACUUGAACUUAUGUCAACAAACUUUUAGUCUUUCGCUUUUUUAUUUCUUUUUAACACAAAAUGCACACCGUGUAGUACGUGAACUUCUGGCAGUUAUCAAUCUGAACUUCUCUCGGUUAGGUGAAAAUAUCUUAGUUUUUUAUGAAUUUUUAAUCUGAUAUUCUUAAUCCUUUUUUAUGAAUUUUGAAGCGCUCUAUUCUCAAAAGUUGAACUUCUUGCUAUUUUAUUUUUGAACUUCUUUACAUUCUUUAAUAACGAGGAAAAUCUAAGUUUUUUAUAAUCAUCGAACUUCUCCAUCUUUUUAAUAUGGACUUCCUGAUUUAUUUUUUUAUGAAAUUUUGAAGCGCUCAAUUUUUAAAAGUUGAACUUUUUUUAUUAUUUUUGAACUUCUUGUUUCCAUUAUUUAAUAACGAGGAAAAUCUGAGUUUUCUAUAAUCAUCGAACUUCUCCAUCUUUUUAAUAUGGACAUCCUCGUACUAUUUCUUAAUCUUUUUUAUGAAAUUUUGAAGCGUUGUAUUUUUAAAAGUUAAACUUCUUUGUUUUUUAUUUUUGAACUUCUUGUUUCCAGUCUUUAAUAACGAGGGAAAUCUGGGGUUUUAUAAUCAUCGAACUUCCGCAUCUUUUUAAUUUGGACCUCCUGGUCUUGUUUCUUAAUAUUUUUUCUACGAAACUUUGAAGCGCUCUAUUUUUAAAAGUUGAACUUUUUGUUAUUUUAUUUUUAAACUUCAUGUUUCAAUUCUUUAAUAAUGAGGGAAAUCUGAGUUUUCUAUAAUCAUCAAACUUCUGCAUCUUUUUAAUUUGGACUUCCUGGUUAUAUUUCUUUAAUCUUUUUCUAUGAAAUUUUUUGUUCUUACAUAAACGCUAAAUCACCCUGUUAGUUUAACUUGAACUUCUGCUGCACAUUUUGCAACACCUAAAAAAUGAACUUAGUGAGAAAUAACAAGACAAAUAUGUCAAUGUCUCCAAUGAUCAUUUUAUGUGCAGAAUGAAUUUAAAAAACCAACCAUAUCCUGGUGUAUCAUAUGUUUGAAACCGGCAUUUUUUUCCACAAACAACAGGUUUGAACUUCCCGGGCCAUGACCCCAUUAACACGAUGAGCAAAUAAUAUGUUUGAAGCACUACGCAAAGAAAGCUAUUACUUAGCUUUUCUCAUGUAUAGUUUUUUGAAUUUCACUAUCUUGGGAACAUGAACUUCAAACCACACGCCAUAACAUAAAUCAAUCAAAAACACUGAUUCAUCUGAUUAAACAUUUUUCACAUUGUUCAUGGGCACCUUUCCUACCAGCAUUUAUGCACAUGGGAAUCUCAGACCUAGUAGAUUUUACCAAAGUGGCUUUCAAUAAACAUCGAACCGCCAUUUUUAUUCAUUUUGAACUUCUAUAUAAACAAAGAAAGGAUAUCUAUCCAUCACCACGAAAUGCAUGUAGAAACCUGUCGGGAAAUACAAACGCAUAUAGUGAUAAUUAUGCAUCCGAUAGCACAUCAAAAAAAUGCAUCAUGAUGUGUUGGAACUCCAGGGGCGCUAGGCAGAACUUUUCCUCUGCUUGCUGCUCGCGCUCACUUGCCUGAGCUAGGGAGGAUGACCAGGGGUGCCUACGACCAGGGGCUCGCGAACUUCUUUUUUAUGAAUGUUUUUUUCUAAAUGCAUUUGUUCAUCAGUAAGAUGCAUUCUUCCCAACAUCCAAUGAUUGAACUCUCUAAACAAUUAUCUUCGAACUUCCAGAUUACUUUACUUAUUUAGGUGUAUGUAAACUCGGGUUUACACUAACUUCCUUCCAUCAAAUCACGUGAAGUACAUGCAUGAACAGAAAAGGGGAAGGAGUUACAAGGUCCAUAACACACUUUUUUGGGCAUCUUUGUGGAGCCUCUGCACAAUAAACUUAACAAGUUACAAAUCGAAGCUACGAAAUGAAAUAAAUGAAUAUGAGCUAGAGGCUGCAGUAACACGGUGCACAUCAGUUUGAGUAGAACCGGGGCGAUAGCAUAGGGUUCAUGCAUGUUUCUCAAGAAAGCAGUGAGGUGCUUUGAGGAGGUGGAUGGCGACUAGCAGCUUGAGUCUUCUGUACUCAGUUUUGUGGUGAUAACACGAACAGAAGGUGUCAUGGUUGGGGACACCUUGGUGUAGCAGCAGGUAAACACACUGCACAACAACUCCAUAUGCCUUUUCUCUGGAUUUCAUAUGUUUCUUGUUUUGUCUCUGAAUUUCUGAAAUGACCUUCUUUUCUCUGCCUGCUACCUCAGAGAGCAGUGCUUGCUGCAUCUACAGAAAAAAUGGAGCAUGGCCAAAGAAUUAGGGAGAAAAUCAUGCAUGUGCUUUGCCUGUAGAAGUCCGAGGCUAGUGGAGAGAAAAAACUGCAUGAGCACAUACUGUUUGUUGGUAUUUCAUAUAAUAAUGUUCUUUUUUCUGUAGAGUGGACACUUAUAAGACGUGGAGCAUCUGGAAAAAAAUGCCGAUGGUUAGUGGCGGCUUGAAAUACAACAAGAAACAUACAUGGGGAUGAAUAUACACGAGAUACCUUUUAAUAUGUUCAGUACAUGGAGGUCCCAGUAUACAUAAAUCUUUUUCACAUAAAUAGCAACUGGCGACAUGUGGAAACCAAAACAAAGUCGUGGCUGAAUGCAUGCCACCUUGGUAGCCACAUACACAGGCUAGCUGAACCUGAAGUAGCUAACAAAUUAGAACUUCGAACGGAAAAAAGUUAAGAGGGAAUUGCUCUGACAAGGAGUCUCCCUUUAUCAAAUUCAGCAGAAGUUGAACUGGAUGGUGGGCAGCAAGAUCCGGGGUGCUAUGUUCAUGAACAGCCGGCGGCUCCGUCGUUGAACGGCUUAGGGUCGAGGCGAACGGACCAGGACAGCAUAGUUGAAUGGCUCGGGGCUGCGUUGGGAGGACUCGGGGGCGGUGUUGUAGAUUGGAUCAGGGUGAGGGUGCUUUCCACUGCCCCUGAAGAAAAUGAUAUGAAGGACAAAACACAUACACAAGAACAACUACACAUUAGGAUUCUGAAUGGUCAUCUGUUUGUUGAGGUAAAGAAGUUCAGAAAGAUCCUCGGACACACGCACACACCAGUGCAUGAACACAUGCAUUAUCACAUACAUCUCAAUUCCUCACAUCACGGUUAAUUCUUUUUUUAACAACAUAUGAAAUGAAUUAUCAAAUCAAUACUCAUAAAGGGGAUCUCUUUUAUGCAGAUACAGACCCAAUCAUUCAUGAUUCUUUUUUAGCAUACUAAGAUGAACAACAGAGAAGCAUCCAUAACAACAAUAUUGGAGAAAUAAAGAUCAGAGUUACCUGUACCUUGAACGAGUAGAGCUGGUUCGGGAGCAGUGGUGCACAGGUUCAAGCAAGAGACACCAGGAAGGUCGAUCACAGGCGCCAGAGAAGGUCACCCGCGGGGAUGCCAAGGAAGGAGGUGCAGAGGCGAGAGUUAAGGAGCAUGGUGCGUUCUGCUAGAGGCCCUGCCGACGACGUAACUCCCCUCGCCGGCGGCUUCGGGGAGCAAGGGCGUUGGUGAAGGGGCCGGUGGAUCAUGAGGAGCAGGGCGGCAGAACCGGUGGGGGAGUAGCAGCGGCAUCUUGGAGAUCUGGCGGGCCGCGAGCCGACGCAUGGUGGCAGGAUUGGCCCCGGCGGCGGCGACGAGCGGGAAUGUUGGGUCUCGGCGGCGCGCGGGAUUUCGGGGAUCCGGCAGCGCGCGGUGGUGCUGGGAACAACGAGGGCGAUCCAGAGCCUGGUGGCGGCACGCAGGAUCCAUGACCGGUGGUGCGCGCGGGAUCCUCGAUCGGCGGUGGCGCGUGAGGCCUAUGGGCGGCGGAUGUUUGGGGCGGCGGCGCGGUGCGCUUGUCUAGUAGGCGGCGACGGGGGUUAGCCGGGGUCGGGAGGUGGGGGAUUGGUCGGGGAUCGGUUUUGGUGCAACGUGGUUGGGUGGCUUUUUCCUUUUGAAGUAUGUGUUCGAGUUCAGGAACAACUCCUCCACGCCUACGUGAUCCAAAUAACUAUUCUAAUCCUGGAAUUAGAAUAGUGUUGUCCUAUACAGUAUAUCUCUACUCCUAAUGUCUUAGUUGGUAGUCUGCGUUUCGGGUUUUAUUUUCGUCCCACCUAUUAUGGUCUUUUUUUGGUAUUUCUUUGGUACUUGCUCCCCCUCCCGCUCAGCCGCGAAAAACCGAAGAAAACCCCGCGAUCGAGUGCGGCACACUCCCAACCUCCUGUCGCAAUUAUCUGACACGAUCGAAAAUAAACCACUGAAAACAAACCGGCGAAAAUUAACCAGCGAAAAAAAUCUACGCUCCUCUNNNNNNNNNNNNNNNNNNNNNNNNNNNNNNNNNNNNNNNNNNNNNNNNNNNNNNNNNNNNNNNNNNNNNNNNNNNNNNNNNNNNNNNNNNNNNNNNNNNNNNNNNNNNNNNNNNNNNNNNNNNNNNNNNNNNNNNNNNNNNNNNNNNNNNNNNNNNNNNNNNNNNNNNNNNNNNNNNNNNNNNNNNNNNNNNNNNNNNNNNNNNNNNNNNNNNNNNNNNNNNNNNNNNNNNNNNNNNNNNNNNNNNNNNNNNNNNNNNNNNNNNNNNNNNNNNNNNNNNNNNNNNNNNNNNNNNNNNNNNNNNNNNNNNNNNNNNNNNNNNNNNNNNNNNNNNNNNNNNNNNNNNNNNNNNNNNNNNNNNNNNNNNNNNNNNUCUGCCACCGCCCCGCCCCUACUGCUCCACCGAACCGACCUCUUCUUCGAGCGUGAGCCGCUCCUCUCCCUGAAGCCCUCGUACGCACUAGGGUUUCGUGCGCCGCCGCCGCCGGUCCUCUCCAACACUGCGACGGGCUUCAUGGCCUACUUCGGCCUCGGGCCUUAAUGCUUCCUCUGCUUCUGCGUCGACCGGCUAUUCAGCGAGGAGGACGUACAUCAGGCAGCGGGUGACGCGCGGUGGCUGCGCAAAUUCCUCUGUGGCGGAGAUCUCCAGGAUGGGUGCUUGUCUUCUCGGAAGAAGGAGAUGAUGAAGGAUGCAGAGAAGGAAGGCAACGUGGUGUGUUCUUGCUGCAAAGUUCUCGUUCAUAUUUUUCUUGCUGCAAAGUUCUCGUACAUAUUUUUCUUCUUGGUAGGAAGGCAACGUGGUGUGUUCUUGAUGAUGAUCGAAGAAGAUCUGCUGGCUGCUGUUCAAGGGACGAUAGCCAAAGAAGAAGAAGAUGAUUGCUAUGUUCUGCUGGACCAGGAUUCUGGAAGACCACGAAGAGGAAUAAGACAAGCAGGCACAUGUGUAUCAUCACGAGCAGCAAAACGAAGAGUAAACCCAAGAAUAUCAAGGGGGGAUUAUGUUGGCUGCCGUGGAGGACGAGAUGCAAGGGUGCUCGGGCAGCGGCUGCAGCAGCGUGACAGAUCAAGCGAGCUAGGUUGUGCCAUCUCUGGUCCUCUCUCUUCAAACGGUCGACACCGGGUGCUUACGAUCGACGUGACGGCGGCGGUGCAAGAGCAUGGCGUAGCUGGUCUGAGAGUGGCGAUGGACUCACUGCCCGCUGCUACUAUAUCAUCCAAAGUAGUGGCAGGGUGCAGCAGCACGAAUGGCUCAGCCUCUACCUUGUUCAUCCCAUUACCACGGAGGCGCUUUAAUUACUGACACAUCUGUUCUUAUUAUGCAACUGCAGGUGAUUUCUCAUCUUUCAACUCGGUCUAUUUUACUCGUCAUACAUGGAGAGAGUUUAUACAAUGUUAGAUGAAGAGUUGGCGGUGCCACGGUGCCAAGGUUUGCUUCUCAAAACUGAUAAGAUCACAUGAUGCUUGUAUAUGAUUAUUAUUAAAUCACAGGCAAAUAACCCACUUCAACCUGCGUGAUAAUUAUGUAGUGAGCAGAGCUUUUGUGUAAAUAAACUACCCAACUUUGUCAAGUGAGUUAAUGGAGCAAGUCUUUAAUUUGUAAUUAGCUGUUGUUCAGAAUUGAACUAGCGCUUCAUACAGAACAAUUUUGAGAGCAACUCCCCACAAAAAAAAUACAUCAACUAUAAUUGUUGGAAUCCUGAAGGUAGUUCCAUCGAAGUUUGUGAGUAUAUUUGCAAACCUCUGUCUACCUAUGAAUACUAUUAUCGAGAUAGUUUAAACCAUGUUGUUGGCCUGCUACAAUGCUCAAUGGUUUACCCUUGCUCAGAUCAAUUCUGGUGUGUUUGUAGUGGGAAUGUGGGAUGAUGUAUGAAGAGAUAAAGAAAAUUAUGCUCGCGGAAUAUGAGUAUGUAGUAACAGUUCUCUGUUAUGGUUCGCGACAAUUGUUCUGGUACAUCUCAUUGGUAGUUUAUAUGUAAUGCAAUGCCAUUUUAUAAUUAUCAUGCUAAAAAGUAAUGUUACAUUAGACAUUUCAACAUAAAUGAGAUGGACAACUGAGCCCACAAUAUAUAACUAUGUAUAUUGGGACACAACGUUUUGCCUCUGUGUCCAGAUGAGCCGGUCAUUCGUCAGUUGGAAUCCGUGCCAAAGAGUUUCAGUGGUGUUGGUGUUCGCCAGUAGUCCAGUACAUCGAGUAUAGAACAACCGUGUAUGCUGCAGGUGGUUACGGCGUACAGCGGAACUGACAGAACUAUUUUGAAUCUCGGUGGCUCUGUAUCAGGGUCUUCCUGUACUGAUGGUUGAAAGAUUUCCAUGUGGUAUGUGACAUGGUACAGAUUUUUCGUUUCCUCGUAACUUUGAUCAGAUAAUCAUGGAUGACGAAAGGCAAACGGAUUCCUUGCCUUCCAAUUUAUCAGUCUUCAGUUACGCUCACGUACCGAGUGAAUAGAUUGCAAUGUUCUGUACUUCUUAUUUCUAAUUGAUUUCAUUCUCUAAUGGUUGCAUUAACUUGCCAAACAUUUCUGGCGGAUGCAUGGGAGGGCCGUCUAUGGUGGCAGUGGAACAAUCCUCACUGUAAGUGAUCUUAGAUAGGGAUGAGGUUAGCAACGAGGGCGAAAGAUGAUGAGGCUCCAGAAUCUAGAGAGUUGUUGUGAAAGCUGAUCCACAAGCACCAGGUUUUGUUAUAAAAGGAAAACUCUCUCGACCCGGAUGGAAAUAAUAUUCCUGGUAGGUACUGUUGAGAGAUGAUAAGCUAGCUUACAGCUGAAUAUUGCACUGUUCCAUAGUUUUCCGGACUACAGAUGUUGUCGAUGAGCAGUAUGUUUUCUAAUGUAUGUUGUCAGCCAGGUCUGCCACAUGUCGUCGCAUCGCUAGCGAGGUUUGCCUGCGCCAUAGAAAGGGGGGAGGGGUGUAUAGAGGGAUGGUCUAGGUGGCGGCUUGGGUGGGGGAUGGUGGUGGUGGUGGUGGUGGGUGGGGGGGUUAGCCCCGUUGCGUCUGUUUGGUAGACAACUUGAAGUAUUUAGAGAUAUAAUGCACUAUCUUGAAUCGAUACACAUUCCUGUGCCACUGUUUCUAGGGGUAGCCCUCUAAUUAGCAAGUGGUUUGUCAUGUGUGUGUGAUUAUGACAGAAAUUUGAACAAUGUGUUGAUUUAUCUCAUAAAUAAGUAUUCACUCUUACAGCACCACCAUGCAUGUUUUUUCACGUUUUCAACAGUUCAUCUUUCAAUUUUGAUUUGCAUAACCAUGCAUAUAUGGUGUACUGAAUCAGUAAAUGAUAUUUAAGUGCUUAUUAGUUGUUGUAUGAACAUUUUCAGCUUUCAUUAGCCCAAUCGGUGCUUUGCACCGAUGCUUUCCUUUGUAGCUGGCAGACAACUCAGACAAAUGCAUCAUUAUCAUUUUGUUUUGAUGGUUUUGUCAAAAAAAUCAAAUGAAUUGAUCUUGUUUUUCUUUGUGCAGAAUUGCCUGAGAUGGUUAGUGAUAGUGAAAGUUAUGAUGACAGAUAAUUACUCCUCCAAGAAGAAGAAUCAGAAGAGGUAUACUAAUGUCACUUUGUUUAAAAUCUCUCCAUACAUAUAUCCUAUAUCACUAAGCUCCCUGGGGAAAAAUCGCUCAGGAGCGAUUCAGGCAUCAAUUGACCUGGUCGUCCGCUUUGUGUCAGCUGGCUAUUUGUGGGCCUUUUUCGUCAGUGGUAAGGUGACAUGGGUCGCGUCUGUCGGUGGCUGAGGAAAGGCGGUUCGAGCCUGACGUGGUCGUCGAUGAGGAGCUUCUGGAUGUCACCGGCGCCGGCAAUCCUCGAGGGCAAAGGCUGUGACAAGCGGCGGCGGCGGUGCUUGGGCAGCAACAAUCUGAGCAUGAUGAGGUCAGAGUUCGCUAUCAAAUCCGCUACAUUUAUCUUGGAUCCAUGCCCAACGUCUCAAACUGGCUAGCAAUUUAUUCAAAGGAUGGGCAAAAUCACGUCACCUCAGCUUGCGAUGCAUUUGCCUGCUAGGAAUUGGGAUCGAUCCAUUCUUUGCUCCGUUUCUAUUCAGAUUUUCAUGUCUUGAUUGAUUUUGCAAAUUUUCCUCUUUGUAGCCACCGCGUGAAAUGAACCUAGCAUUGUGCAUGGUCGCAGGAGUCUCUGCAAGUUACUUGCUUGUUGAUUCUGCAUAUUGGAAUAAUAAGUAACUACUUUGUGAAGUUCUUCUAAUUUCGAAUGUUAUAGACAGCUAGAAAGACAGCCCAUUGUACAAGUUGUCUAUAUCGAUAUCUAGAGAUGAUAUGGAGAGCCGCUACAGAUAGAUACUAUCUAGACUAUUGUACUUGCCCUUAUUGCUGCAGGUCGAAGGCGUCGUGGUGGUGCAUUGGAGCUGGAGGAGGCGGCGGGCCAGUGUUGUUUGUGCUCAAGACGUACGAGAUGGUGGACAACCCAUCGACGGAAGCAGCGGUCUGGUGGAGUGACGCGUUGGACACAGCCUUCAUGGUUUGGUGCUCGCUGGAGUUUGCAUCUUCAAGCACAGAAAUUUCUCCAGUUUCAUCCAUGAGCUCCCCCCCACCCCCUCUCUUACUGAAUCCCUACGCACCCCAAGCAAUCUCGGUCAAGUUUGUGCGGAUUUGGGGUUUAAGAUCUGUGCAUGUGCGGGGAAUUUAUUAGUAGGAGUUGGGCUGGGUUUUAUUUGUCAGAUUUACUGGAGAAUUUGGCAUUAGAUUUUGAUCUUGGGUGGGGGCGAGGGUCCUCAAAUGUCUACACUGUUGUGGUGAAAUGCUACUCCAUUUUUUACUAAAAAUCAUUUAGGAUGCUGAUUUUCUUAGUUGGUCUUGAUUGCAGUUAAAUGCUAAAAAUCAGGACUCGGUAUGGUGCCAAAAUAUGUUCAUAAUUUUGUGCACUGGGCUGGUGGGAUGCUAUGUGAAUCACUACAUUCUUACUCCUUUGGUUCGCCGGAGGUUCGGAUUGCAUUGACCACAUUCAGAUUUUUCCUAGAGAUUCGGGCUGGCAACCAAAGAUGUCCAGCCUUGAUGGCUUGUGAUAUAUUAUCAUGUUUAGGAUAGGCGAAAAUAAGAUUGCAAAGGUACAUUCUUUUCCUGCAUAAACUAAAUAGUGUUACAAAUGGUGAUAAACAUGGGUAGUUUUCACUUCUUUAUUACUGCUGAAUCAUGACAUAAAAUGCAUGUUUCUUGUUGUAUACCUUCAGUGUGGAUUAUUACGUGAUGUACCUUGUCAUUAACUUUCUUUAUUUAGGACUAAUUUUGUUUCAUAUUCAUACUAAAACUUUUCUCAGGAUACUAAAAUUUACCCUUGCACUCAAUUUUUCUAGAGCUAAUAAAAUAUCUCGUUUUAGUGAAAUUUGACUUUUACUAUUUUUUUGUCAAGAUACUCAGUUUUCUUGUGUUAAAAUUUAUCUUGUUACUGAAAUUUUAUAGGAACGAAGAGCUCAAGAUUUUUCUUUUGUUCAUGAAGAUGCAUAAUCAAGAGGAACCAUGAGGAUUCCUAAGAACACUUGAGGUGCUGCAACAUCACUUAACCUUUUCAUGUUACUCUAGAUGAUUUAUCAUCCUUGCUUGCCCCUCCCGACAAGGAUUCAUAUCAAGAGUUCAAUACUUGUUGGGGGUUCCUCGCAAUGCAUGCACAGAGAGGCAUAACUUCUUUGCUUCCCCCACCAUCUCUGCAAUAAUAUGGCGUGCAUGUGCAAAAAGAAGGAUCUGAUGGUCUACUAAGGGCUUAUAGGAAUGAAGAGCGGCUUAUCUUCUUUACGUGUUUAUCUGGUAAAUAUUCAUCUGUCAGGCAAUACAAAUCGUAUGGUUACAAGUUCAACAACAACAUGGGGAGCGCUGGCGUGGUAGUCCGGCGGUAGAGGGAUGGCUGGGCAGCAGCCUACCGAGGAGUUGGAGGGAGGGCUUGAUUGGACCACAUCUGUCCACGAGGGCUCGUUGGUGGGCUAAUCAAGAAGGGGGGAGGGGCUGGGUGUAUCUGCGUUGCGCGGUUCCGGCUGGUGUGCUCCUCGGCGGCGUCCUGGAUAGGUGGAUGUGUGGGCGGCUGCGUGUGUGCGUGUGCUUCGGCGGUGCGUGGUGAGGUAGCGGGGUGGCCAGCGCGGUGCCCUGGUGAGCAGGUGGUUAGAUCCGGACGGAUUUGGCCAUGGUGGCUCGACCUUGGACUUGCUGGUGCAUGUUGUGCGGAGCUCGAGAGGUUGAUCUGGGCGAAAGCUUGUCUUCGGAGUUUCCAGAGCCGGUGAUGGCGAAGCUUUCGAGUGUCGUUUCCUUCCUAUGGGCAUCGCUGAGGUAUUCUUAGCCGCAAUUUAUGCCGCUUCGGAGGAAACUCUAGAUUUGUGUGAUCGGACGAUGACGGUGCUUUGGCAUCAUAUCCCUCUCCAGGGUUUCAUCUUUCGAGCUAUGCAUUAGCAUGCUGGGCCGAUGGAAGAUGGAAGCAGAAUGCAUUUAUAACAAGGGCACCGGCCACAGGUUUACAACGACUUAUUGGUUGUACUGAUGGAGCAGAGUGCAUAUUUGUGCAGAGUCUGCAAAGAGUAACUGAAAGACUCGACUGAUCAGAUUUGUCAGGAGGGCUUUCUUAUUUAUGUAUCCAAUUUUAUGCAUGCCAGAGGAAGAAGAUCAAGGUAUGUAUAUAUAGCUUGAUUAGACACAAUGGUAAAUUUCUUAUGCUUUUUUGGCUUGAAUCAUCUAUUCUGUUGUGCGUACAUGUACUACGUAGUGUAUUAUUUUUUGGCCUGAAUCAAAAAAUAAUUCAGUCAUUUAACCUUCUCAAAUCCGGAUCAUGUACUACACAGUGUUGUUUCUUUUGCAUAGAAGUAUCACGCACACCUUCCAGUAGGACCUGAAUGAUGUGCAGAGAUAACAAAACAAGUUUACAAGUGUUACCGAAAUUUCCUUAAGUUCUUUUCUCCUAUGAUUUACUGAAUGCAUCUUUGUGUUCUCUAAUUGUGUAAAAAAUGGCAUCUUUGUAAUGUACUUUUAUUUAACUCAGCUCAUACUCCGUAUUGUACUUCUAAAAUUUGCCAAGUUUCGAAUUCUGACUCAGAGUGCUUAUUCAUGUUCUUUUUUUGUUAGCUUUUAGUCAGCUGAGUUGAAGAAGCAAGUAAGCUUGAAGAAAUGGACAGAUUGGCAUUUAAAAAUCCUGAAGAUAUGAACAAACAAUCUUGCUGAUUCAUGUGUACUAGCCUGCUCAUUCAUGUAUAGUUUAUAAUCUGAGGAAAUGUUUGCCGUCUGUGUUAACCUCCAGUCUUGUACUGCUGAAGAUUGUAGUUUGUGUUGUAUCAUAUGUGGACAUGUUCUUUACUUCAAUCUAGACUUACGUGCCUUUGUGUUAAGUUGUCUUACAUCUCAAGUUUUGUAUUUUCAUGUUUCAUGAAUUAUGUGGGUAUGUGGCAGCCCACAUAAUACCACAUACAGUAUGUGGACAGCCCACUUAAUCCCACUUAAAUAAGUGGACAUAUGUGGCAGGAAGUGGGCACCUGCAGGUUGUCCCACCUACAGGCUGAGUGGAAGAGAGUUCGUAUUUGCCGUUGUAUGAUGAAAACUGGAUGCCACCAUGUUUAAUGUGUAUUUCUAAAUAAAAAGAAUAAUUUGAUCAAUCUGUUCUUAUUUCUAUUAUUCGGUGACAACUCAUGGUUAUUCGGAUUUUGCCCGUAGCAACGCACGGGUCUGACGAUGAAUUUUUUUUAGCUAAUUCUGAUAUCGAGAUCCUGGAGAAUCCAUCUGACGUAGUCAAAGACAAACGUCUUGCCCCAAUCACUAUCAUACCCACGGACCAACGUGAAUUACUUGUUGGCCUUUGCAACUACAUCAUGUCUAUUGAUGAUGUCGGGUGUUUGGAGUAAGUAUCAUGUAUCAAUAUUUAAUGUGCGGAUUUAUAAUAUUAUUCUUCUUAUCAUCUAAUUUAUAGAAAGGUAUGGGUCUGGAGCUCGACACCCGAUCCAAUGGGCUUAAGUCUUAAGAAACUUCAGUGCAUACUUAACAUGGAGCAGACCAUGGACAAUGACUGCUUCAACACAGCCGUGCGUAUGCUGGCAUGUGACGAGGGAGUAUUGUUCACAGACACUCCUGUGCACUACGUGGAUCUAUGAUUUUGUGUAAAUUAUCUUAACUCUUCAUUCUAUGUGUCAUUACUAUCAACAUGUUGAAACAAUUUUUUUGUACUUAGUCCAUGAUGCUAGAGUCAACACGAGGUCAGAAGUUUUGCGAGAAAGAAACUAUCCAGAUGUUGGCAACAUUAUUUGAUAGCUGGCUUGGGAUGGACAACGACAUCUCAUCGUGCAACAAGGUAAGUAAAGUAUUUUGUCCAUUGUUAUCAUGGUUUGUUAUUGUUUCUAAUACCUCCAUUUGUAGAUUUAUCUUCCCUAUGCAUCCAUCGGCCUAUACAUUUUGUACGUCAUCGACAAAGAGGCACGUCAUCUAUAUAUUAUGGAUCCUAUUCAAACAUCACAAUCGUUAGAGGAGAAAAAAUUAAGGCAUGCACUGAAAUUAAAAAGUUUUGCAAGUGAUUUCAAAGAAGCACUCGAAAUAAAGCUGCCUGGUUUGAAUUAUGAUCUAUCUAAAUGGCAACGUUUAUUUCUGUUUGGUAUUCCAACAAGUAUAGAUGGGUAAUGAAUUCAUAACAAAAACAUUUACUUUUGUUAUUACUAUAUUCUUUACAUUGUUAAUUUAAAGUUUUACAAGAAUUUGUCUGGCUAUUUUGUUUUUCAUUUUAUGCUCUGGUGGAACAGUGAAGAUUUGGUCAAGCCGAUUUGCGCGGUGAGUAUUGUCCGUUACAUGUUUUAAGACCUUCGGCAUGAAAUUUUCAUACUAACUACAUGUAUGCGUUUGUGCGGGAUGGGUAUAAAUUGAGGAAGCAGUUUUUGUUAUACUUGCUAAAACAUCGUGGGAAUGAAGCUAAAGGAAACUUAUCGGAUAUUGUGAAAUAAUUUCUUAAGCGCAUCAUCUAGAUAUUAAUAGUUUUGUAAUAGAUGUUUAGUUGGAACAUCGCUCAGUUUGUUACAUGGACAUGUCUUUAAUUUUUCUUAUGUUAUCAAUUUACAUUGCAAAAAUAAACUUCAGUUAUUAAAUAAUUAUGUUUUUGUUAUAUUGUUUGUACGCGUGGAAUUUAACAUGUAACUCCUGCAAACUUUUUCAAGAGCCCGUGGCAACGCACGGGCACUCUACUAAUAUAUAUAUAUAUAUAUAUAUAUAUAUAUAUAUAUAUAUAUAUAUAUGGGUCACGCUAUUCGUCACCCUGGGUGAGGAAUAGUUAUUCUUCACCACACACACGCUUAUAAGGACAUGCUUGCAUAACCAAAUUAAACAUCCACUUACAUAGAUGUCUAUUACAACCAUGGCAUUUGCACACACCAAAGUAAACUAUUACAUGCAUAAUUAUAUAGGUGGCUACUACACACAUGACAUUUCCACACACACCAAUAAAGUAAAGUAUAUAUUACAUGCAUGAUUAACUAGCAAAAACGAUCAUCUGAUCAUCAUCUACUUCUUGUGACGCUUGCUCUGCUUGUGGCUCGAUCCGGACACGUCGAUUUGGGUAACGAGGCACUUCCUCAUGUCAACGAUCCGCAUGUGCAUCUCGUAGUAUGUGUACACGCUCUUGGCCGCAAAUCUGAGGUGAGGUUCAUCCAGUUGCCGCAUCCAGGCCUUGUGCCAGGAUACGGGACUUGUUCUCUGGGCAUCCUGCUUCAUCUUUUCGUGUAGGGGUAGAUGAUGGCCAAGGCGAGUUCGACCAGGGAGUCCUGCUUCGUGCAGCCCUAGACCCUGUAGUGCUCACGGAUUUCAAUAAGAUUCUUGCAGGACAAGGUUCUUCUAGGUUAUUUGUUUCCUAAUUAAGGCAUUCAAUUCAUAAUUGAUUUUUUAUUUCUAAUAAUGGUGUUUCCUAAUCGAGGCAUUCAAUUCCUAAUUUAUUUGUUUCCUAAUUUAGGCAUUCAAUUCAUAAUGAAACUAUUUAAUUUCUAACAAUGGUAUUUUGAUGUGAUACAUCAUUCGCUGGAUCUGGUGAGUCGGUUUUUAUCUAUGAGUGGGAAGAAUUUGUAGGAUUCACACAACUGGCGCUUUUGUAAGUAGUAGACAUAGAGAAAGAGAUAGAGAUAGACAUGUUGUUUAACAAAUACUCCCUCCAUUUCUUUAUAUAAGGUGUGCCCUUCCACCAUCCAUUACCUGCCUUAGAUAAAAAGUACUACGUAGUCCCAAUAGAAAGGUAGUUAAAAAGAAUCUCUCUCUCUCUAAUUGCAUGCACUCACAUUUCUCCCUCUCUCCUAUCACACGGAUUGAUUUUAUUCUGGUGUAGCGAGAUUUAAUUGCCUUUUAUUAGGUCGUUGUUAUUUAGUUGCCACUAAUUAAUCUGUAAACUAACUAAUUGUUUAGGGUAUUUUCGUCCAAAAUGCUCCUCAGUUCUGUGCCUUGGUCACUGUGCCUAAAAAGAUAAACCUUAUAUAUUAAGGAACGGAGGAGUAUAUUUUUGUUACAUGUAUCGCACACGGGUCAGGCUCAUGAACCAUAUGCAAAUGCGCCCAACAGAAACAGACUUUAUCAGAUGAGGAAUACAAGUUCAUUAGAUCCAACCGAGAAACACACGAUACUAUCAAAUUGGGAACUGCAAAACACAACAUUAAUUCAUUCCCCCGCAGAAGUUAUUUCGAUCAUAACUCAUUACAUUGUAUGUAAUACUCCUCCGUUGCUUUAUAUAAUGUGUAUUUAUUUUUUGAUAAAAAUUUAUAAUGUAAGGUAUAUUUCUUUCAGUUUCACAUAAUUCUAUUUUUAACCCUUCGAAAAAAGGAAAGUAUCUCUUCCUGAUUGCAUGUAUCUCUCCUUCCACUAGUAGAAAAAGAGCCAUUUUUCCCGGUUCAUAAGACCCAUCUGUCCCGGUUGCGGAACCAGGACUAAAGGGUCGUUACUAAUGCCCUUGGCCUUUAGUCCCGGUUCUUAUACGAACCGGGACAGAUGGGCCUCCACGUGGCCGUUGUGGCGAGCCCAGGCAGGAGGGCCUUUAAUCCCGGUUGGUGGCACCAACCGGGGCCAAUAGGCAUCCACACAUCAACUGUUCAGGGGCUAGGGUUUUUGUUUUUUUUUCUGAAAGGGGGGUGGAUUUGGGGGUUUUGUAUGGUUAAUUAAGGUGUUUCAUAUAUUGUGUUAGGUAGCUAAUUAAUUAAUAGAGAGAAGUGCCUCUCUUAUCUCCGUGCUUGGUCGACGCUACGUACUAUACGUAUAGAGAGGCCCUCGAAACGCUAGCUAGUAAGAAAAUGAAGGAAACCAUUAAGUACAGAAGUUCGUCAUGCAUACCGAGAGAAGUGAUCGACUCUCCUUCUCCGAGAGAUUGGUCGAACAACAAGUUUUCGUAUUAUCUAUCCGACGCUACUGGCUACAUACAUAUACAAUAUGUAAGAUCUGUUACAAUCCCCUAGCAUCUGAAAUCAAGUUCUACAUGGUAUUCUCCGGCUUUAUUGAUGACGUGGUCAAAAAAGAAUCUCGCUAAUUCCUCUUGAAUUGCUUUCAUGCGAUCUUCUCGUAGGAGUUCAUUUCGCAUCUCCCACGUCUAAUUUGAAGAAGGGGCUUAAUACAUAUAUGUGAAUGAAACUCAACAGAAAUGAUGGUGUAAUAAAAUGAAAUUGUGAAUAUUAUUGCUUACGCACAUCAAAUUGUCUUUUAGAGUAGCCCCGCUUAUCUUUGCAAGUCGCGUUGUAGAUGAACUCGCACAUGUAGUAUCCACAGUAAUCAUUCCCUUAUUCCUGCCACAAGCACUUUACAGAAAUAGAGGUCAAUCAAACUGAUAAUGAAGUAUUAUAAAUGGCAUUGAUGAAAGUAGCUAGAAUCAACGGGAUCGAGAUGCGUGGAACUAGCUAGCUAGUACUACUUACUUUUGGGUAUGUCCAUCGCAGCUCCCCCGGCAGUCCCGGAGCUUGUGCGGUGAAUACUUUCCAAACCCUGCGAGACAAAGAAAACAAUUACUUGAUAUCAGGAAAUGAACAAAAAGUUGCCGAUAUGGUGCGAUAAUGAUCGAUUGAACUUACUUCUCGAGCAUUUUAGUCAUGUCUGCAUAGGUCUCGGGAGAUUUUCGUCUCGAGUCUAAGACGGUUACUAGUCCCUGCUCAAGCUUAAUCUCCAGGAGAAUAUAGUGAAAGUUGCGCACGCAUGCAUAACUCAUCAAUUACAUUACUAUAACCUUGCUCAAGUAAUAAGGGAAACCGAAUAUGCACAAGACAGUAACACUCACUCGAGGCUUCCCGUAAUGGUAUUGGUGUUCUUCCACCUCCAAGAAAUCAUAGUGUACAUCGUCGGGCAGGUAAUCUUCAAAAUUGCUAUAACCAGGCACCAUCGCCGGAUCAUUAGCGACGAUAUCGCUAGAAACUUUGAGCGGGGGGCAUGAUUGGUCCGCUUGUUCGCCGAGCGGGGCAAUUUUUUCCCAACUCGUCGUUCUGCUAACCUUCGAUCACUGAUAGUAUUUCCCGACCGCUCCGCUUCGAUAUAUACCUUUGCAGUAAUGCGCUCAUAGUUGUUUUUCAGCGGAGACUUUGGUGGUUUCCUCAGGGCAUCGAUAGUGCGCUUUGCUUUCACCCGGUCUACCUUCUCCUCCGGAGGUGGAUGUCUCUUUGCUUUCACCCCUUCAAAGAAGUCCUUCACUUCUUUUUCCACGAUCUUCGCGUUUUCUUCCACUGUCCUCUCGUAUGGUAACUUCUCUAGAGGCUUGAGAGGUGAACCGAAUCUGUAUUGCCUCCCGCCUCUGGCUGUACUGCUAGACACCGGAGCAGACGGAGCAGCUGCGCCUGUCUUCUUUCGUGCUUGCUUAUGAGGCGGAGGAGAAGGACUACGAUGCACGGAGCAGCCGGGGUGACGGCGGGUGUCUUCCUCCCUUGCUGGCAAGGCGGAGAAGGAGGAGGCUGGUGGCUUCUCGGGCGCGCCAACGCAGGCGGAGUGUCGUCACGCGCCGAAGAGGGAGGAGGCUGGUGGCUGCUCGGGAGCGCCGACGCAGGUGGAGAAGGAGGCGGAGUGCCGCCACAUGCCAGAGAAGGAGGCUGAGUGUCCUGAUCACUCGCCGGAGGAGGAGGCGGUGGAGGAGGCGGAGUGCCCUGACUCGCCGGAGGAGGAGGCGGAGGCGGAGGCGUCCAGUUCGGAAGGUUGAUGAGCUCCUUCCGCCAUAGGCAUGGAGUCUUCAGACAAGAACCCAGCCGAGUCUCCCCGUCACUCGUAGGGUGGUCAAGCUGGAGGUCCUCAAAUCCUUCUGUGAUUUCAUCCACCAUCACCCUAGCAUAUCCUUCUGGAAUCGGCUGGCAGUGAAAAGUUGCGCUAGGUUCAGGAGGUGCAACAGAGCCAACAGCCGCCUUGACUUUCAAUUCCAUCCACUGCGUCAUAAGGUGGCAAUUCUGAGACUCCGUGAUAGCAUCCACGGGGUAGCUAGCAGGAGCCGUGAAGACAGGCUCCUGAAGCAGCUCCGUGGAAGCCACGUUGCUUCUCCGCUAAGAUGGCAGGGUAGCUUCGGGUGUAGCAGCUUCGGCAGGUCGCAUGCUGCGGGCCUCAUCUCGUUCCUCUAGCGCUUGUACCCUUGCAUGCAGCGCGUGUAGUUGGGUCAACUCCUUUUUCUUCUUCCUCUCCCGGCGUUUGUAACCACCUGCGUCGGGAAAUCUAGCCUUCCACGAAAGGGAGCCUGGCGUGCCUCGUGUCCGUCUGGGGUGCUCAGGAUUCCCGAGGGCCUCUGUGAGCUCGUCGUUCUCUCUGUCCGGAAUGAACAUCCCUUGCUGCGCCUUUUCGAUAUACUCCUGAAGCUUCUUGAUGGGUGUGCUCAGCUGCUCGUUGGUCCAAACGCACUUCCCUGUUACAGGGUCCAAUUUUCCCCCAACCCCGAAGAACCAAGUCCUGCAACGGUCUGGCCAGCGUCGCGUCUCUGGUUCGAUCCCUUUAUCAAUGAGGUCAUUCUCAGCCUUGUCCCACAACGGCCGGGCUUUCAGGUAGCCACCUGACCCCGUGCGAUGGUGAUGCUUCUUCUUUGUAGCAUUUUUCUUGUUUGUUGUUGACAUCUUCGCUGCUCUCUUAGAUUUCUUUUUGGUGAAAAAUGCGGGCCACUGAUCUUUGAUCUUCUCAAAUCGGCCGAUGAAUUCUGGAGUCUUGUUUUGGUCGACAAACGAUGAUUUCAGCUCAUUCUUCCACCUCCUGAAUAGCUCAGCCAUCUUUUAAGAGCAUAAGCCUUGAUCAUUGGCUUUUUAACUGGAUUCUCCGGAUCCUCCUCUGGCGAGAAGGUGAAAUUUUCCUGCAGCGCGGUCCAAAGAUCAACUUUCUGCCUAUCGCUGACAUAAGACACCUGACAGUCUUUGUCCUUAGGCUUCAACCAUUGCUCGAUGCUGAUCAGGAUCAUGUCCCUAACUAGAACCCCGCACUGAGCAUUAAAUUUUUGCUUGGCCCGGAGGGGUUCAAUCGGUUGGCCAACGCGAUCAAUUUUGAUGAUCGUGUACCUUUCAUCUGAGCGCAACUUUCUCUUCGGGCCUCGUCUCGUUACCGAAGUGUUGCUCGAUCCGGAGGGCUAGAAAAGAAGAAAAAGAAUAGAGUUAAUAUGUGUACAUACCAAAAAGAAUUAAUGCAUCAAUUAACUAUAGUCAGCACAUGCUUAAUUAAUUAAUAUAUAUACUUGGCCGGACUCCGUUCGGUCACCAGAGCCAUCAUCACGGUGUCCUUCCCCCUCCAUUCGGUCACCGGAGCCAUCAUCAUGGUGUCCUUCCUCCUCCAUUGUUUGAUCAUCGUCAUAGCCUGCUUCUUCAUCAUGUCUUUCCAGACCAUCGGUGCAUGUGUCGUUGAGAAAUGACAAGACGGCAUCACUUCCGUGUGCGAUUAUCUCCCCCAACACCGCUUCUUGUGCUUCGUCUCGGGGGUGCGGAUCCAUAGUUUCUGCAAAUAUUUACAACAUGGCAAUUAUUAUUCAAACAUGAUAGAUGGAUAUAUUAGUGGCAAACAUUGAACUAGCUAGCUAAGAACAAUAAGGAAUCAUAUUAGUGGCCUGGCCUCGAUGCUUCUCUAGGGUUUGGGGUGGCCUCGAUGACAACGCUCUUUUAACUUAGUAAAUUUGGGUGGCCUCAAGAGAGUUUGUGGGUAGGGGCGCGGCGGGAGGGGGUAGGAGACCGACAUCGUUUUUUUCUAGGGUUUGGGUGUCCUCGAGAGUUUUGGUCGAGCGAGAGGGCCGGGGGGUGCUCCCGUGGUAUAAGUUAUCACGGUCGAGAGGGGGUAUAUAUAUUGACCGCCCCUCAUGUCAAAGUUAUCCUUCUUCUUCUCCUCUAUUCUUUUCUUCUUCUCCUCUAUUCCUUUCUUCUUCUCCUCUUCUUUUUCUUCUUUUUUCCUCUUCUUAUUUAUUUCUCCUCUUCUUCCUCUCCUCUUCUUCUCCUUUUUUCCUCUUCUUAUUUUUCUUUUUCCUCUCAUUCUUUUUCUUCUUCUUCCUUUCCUAGCUAGAUAUAUAAAACUUUUCUAAAAAUGUAACUUUUGCAUAUAUAAAACCUUUUCUUCUUCUUCCUUCUUCCUUCUCUUCCUUCUUCCUAAAUAUAUAAGACUUUUCUAAAAAUGAAACUAACCUAAAAUGUACUAAAUCAGAGAACAUAUAUAGAUAAAACUUUUCUAAAAAUCUAAAUUUUGCAUAUAUGUAUUUUUAAAACAUCAUGCAUAUUAUAAUUGAAAAAAAUACAUACAUACAUACAUACAAAAAACAUGUAAAAAAUACAUACAUACAUAUAUGAACAUACAUAAAAUAUAUAUAUAUCUAAAACAUACAUACAUACAUAUAUGAAAAUCUAAAAACAUGAAAAAAUAGCAUGUAUAACUAAGAAAGCACGGCGGCGGCGGAGCCGGCAGGGGCGCGGUGCUCACAGAGGGACGCGUCGGAGCAGGAGUGCGCAGCGUCAGGGCGAGUAGGGGCGCGAGGAGUGGCGCGGCGACGACGUCGGGACAGGGGCGGCGCGCGUCGGGGCAGGGGCGGCGUGCGGCGACGGCAUCGGGCGAGGGCGCGGGCGACGGCAACGCUGACGGCGGGGGCGGUAGGCGGCGUCGGGGCAGCCUGGCGGCGUCGAUGUCAUCGAGGGGUCGUCGGGGGCAACUGCGAGAUGAAGAUGAAAAUUUUCACAAGUGUUGGUUAUNNNNNNNNNNNNNNNNNNNNNNNNNNNNNNNNNNNNNNNNNNNNNNNNNNNNNNNNNNNNNNNNNNNNNNNNNNNNNNNNNNNNNNNNNNNNNNNNNNNNNNNNNNNNNNNNNNNNNNNNNNNNNNNNNNNNNNNNNNNNNNNNNNNNNNNNNNNNNNNNNNNNNNNNNNNNNNNNNNNNNNNNNNNNNNNNNNNNNNNNNNNNNNNNNNNNNNNNNNNNNNNNNNNNNNNNNNNNNNNNNNNNNNNNNNNNNNNNNNNNNNNNNNNNNNNNNNNNNNNNNNNNNNNNNNNNNNNNNNNNNNNNNNNNNNNNNNNNNNNNNNNNNNNNNNNNNNNNNNNNNNNNNNNNNNNNNNCUCUUUUCAGCAGCCCAAAGGGCGGGAAGCAGAGGCCUUUGGUCUCGGUUGGUGGCACCAACCGGGACUAAAGGGGGGGCAUUGGUUCCGGUUGGUACCACGAACCGGUACCAAUGCAUCCCUUUAGUCCCGGUUGGUGGCACCAACCGGGACCAAAGGGAUGCAUUGGUACCAACCGGGACCAAAGGCCUCUUGUUGACCGCGUCGCGGCCAAAAGUUUAGUCCCACCUCGCUAGUUGAGAGGGAUCGAGAGUGGCACCAACCUUUUCUGACUUCAUUUGUUAUUUUUCAUGCAUUUACUGAUUUUUUGAGCUAUAAGACCCUGAAAUUCAAAAGCAUUUCAAAUAAACUCUGAAAAGGUUAAAAGUUGGCAUGGUAUCAUCAUUUCACCCACAUAGCAUGUACUAAAAAGUUGAGAGGAUUACGACAAGAACUAGAUGCACUUCGUGUACAAAAUGGACAAUCUUUUUUGAAGUAUCAGGGUUUCAUACGGAAACUCAUCUUUUACAAAGGGAUUUUAUUUUUUAAAACUUAUUUGAACUCCAGACUUUUUGUGUGUUCAAAAUGCAUCAUUAAAAGCCACAUCAUCAAUUUUCAACCCUUUUUGACUUCAUUUGUUAUUUUUCAUGCAUUUACUGAUUUUUUUGAGCUAUAAGACCCUGAAAUUCAAAAGCAUUUCAAAUGAACUCUGAAAAGGUUGAAAGUUGGCAUGGUAUCAUCAUUUCACCCACAUAGCAUGUGCUAAAAAGUUGAGAGGGUUACGUCAAAAACUAUAUGCACUUCGUGUACAAAAUGAACAAUCUCUUUCGAAGUAUGAGGGUUUCAUACGGAAACUCAUCUGUUACACAGGGAUUUCAUUUUUUUAACUUAUUUAAACUCCAGACUUUUUGUGUGUUCCAAAUGCACCAUUCAAAGCCACAUCAUCAAUUUUCAACCCUUUCCGACUUCAUUUGUUAUUUUUUAUGCAUUUACUGAUUUUUUUGAGCUAUAAGACCCUGAAAUUCAAAAGCAUUUCAAAUGAACUCUGAAAAGGUUGAAAGUUGGCAUGAUAUCAUGAUUUCACCCAUAUAGCAUGUGCUAAAAAGUUAAGAGGGUUACGGCAAGAACUAUAUGCACUUUGUGUACAAAAUGGAUAAUAUUUUUCGAAGUAUCAGGGUUUCAUACGGAAACUCAUCUGUUGCAAAGGGAUUUCAUUUUUUAAAACUUAUUUAAACUCCAGACUUUUUGUGUGUUCAAAAUGCAACAUUCAAAGCCACAUCAUCAAUUUUCAACCCUUUCUGACUUCCUUUGUUAUUUUUCAUGCAUUUACUGAUUUUUUUAGCUAUAAGACCCUAAAAUUCAAAAGCAUUUCAAAUGAACUCUGAAAAGGUUGAAAAUUGGCAUGGUAUCAUCAUUUCACCCACAUAGCAUGUGCUAAAAAGUUGAGAGGGUUGCGGCAAAAACUAGAUGUACUCCGUGUACAAAAUGGACAAUCUCUUUCGAAGUAUUAGAGUUUCAUACGGAAACUCAUCUGUUAAAAAGGGAUUUUAUUUUUUUAAACUUAUUUGAACUCUAGACUUUUUGUGUGUUCAAAAUGCAACAUUCGGAGCCACAUCAUCAAUUUUCAACCCUUUCUGACUUCAUUUGUUAUUUUUUAUGCAUUUAUUGAUUUUUUUAGCUAUAAGAUCCUGAAAUUCAAAAGCAUUUCAAAUGAACUCUGAAAAGGUUGAAAGUUGGCAUGGUAUUAUUUUUUCACCCACAUAACAUGUGCUAAAAAGUUGAGAGGGUUACGGGAAAAACUACAUCCAUUGUCGGUUUAUCUGCGUGCAUUAUAUAUAAUUAUGUGUGUCAAAAACCAUUACAUGUUCACAUGGAUAGAUAAGUGACCAAAUUAAUAGAAGUUCAUCAUCACAUUAAAAACAAAGUACAUACAUAGUUCUCAUUGAAGAACAUAUACCUCUCCAGAGCAUCUAGUUAAACCAUACAUUGAAACUAUGUAAAACCUUUCAAUGCAACAACAAAUGUGAUCAUAAUCACAACCAAGGUAAAAAUUGAUCCAACGGCAUAAUGAUACCAAGCCUCGGUAUGAAUGGCAUAUUUUCUAAUCUUUCUAAUCUUCAACCGGAUUGCAUCCAUCUUGAUCUUGUGAUCAUCGAUGACAUCCGCAACAUGCAACUUCAAUAUCAUCUUCUCCUCCUCAAUUUUUUUAUUUUUUCCUUCAAGUAAUUAUUUCUUCUUCAACUAAAUUUAACCUCUCGACAAUAGGGUCGGUUGGAAUUUCCGGUUCAACUACCUCCUAUAUAAAUAAAAUCUAUGUCAACUUGAUGGGCAUAAUUGUCAUAAACAAUAAAUGAACCAAAUAAUGAUAAAAUAUAAUAUUAUAUAUAUACCACAUCCGAAUCAUAGCCAAGACGAGGGCCGGCGGGGGCGCAUGUCAAAACCAUCGCACUAUAUAAUAACAAGCAAUAAUGAAAAUAAGAAAAUUAGACAAGUAUCUAUCUAAAGUAAGAAUUUUUUUUCUUUCAGAAGAAGAUAAGAGGCUCACCACGGUGGUGCAGGCGACGAGAUCAGUGCGGGCGAUCGACGGCGGUGAGACGGGGACGGGACGUGAUGGACCGCUAAACCUAGACAAAUCUCGGAGAAAAUGGAGCUUGGAGUCGAGCUUCGAGAGGAGAAAGCUUAACUAGCGUGGCUUGGGUAUUUCAUCGAACACCUCGUGUGCAUAGGAGGUGAGCUAGAGCACCCAAAUGCCCUCUCCUUGCCGGCCAGAAAAAACAGAGCACUAUGGAGUGCUCUGCUGCGGCGACGGGGUAUAUAUAGGCAACUCAUUUGCCCCGGUUCAUGACUGGAACCGGGACUAAAGCCCGGCCUUCUGUCCCGGUUCAAGCCAAAAACCGGGACCAAUGGUUGUGGGCCAGGAGCGAGGCUCAUUGGUCCCGGUUCGUGUCUAGAACUGGGACAAAUGGGUCCAUACGAACCGGGACCAAUGCCCACGAGGCCCCGGCCGCCCCCCUGGGCUCACGAACCGGGACGAAUGCAUCCAUUGGUCUCGGUUCAUGGAAGAACCGGGAUUAAUGGGCUGGCCAGGCCCGAACGAAAGCCCCCUUUUCUACUAGUGUUGUAGAGAAAAAAGAAAAAGGCAUCUCUCCCAAUUGUGUGUAUCUCUUCCUUUCAUAGCCUGAAUGAUUUACUUUCCGCAAUCAAUGAAUUAGCUAGGGGUAAUUUUGUCCUAAAUUGUCUAUAGUUAUGUGCCUUGAGCCGUACCGUCAAACGAAGGAAUUUUAGUAUUUGUUGGCCGGAGUCCGGUCAAUCCUGCAAUGUGGUGCCGACGGCUCGCCCUUCACAUGCAUUGACGGCCUCUCAAAAACAAUAAAUAAUCACUUGUCAUCCGGCGGUGGACACCACUAGUGACCGGUGCCGAAAUCCGAUGCCCCCCUUCGUGUGAAGCUCUGACGUGACCACGUGCGGCCUCGACUGCCCAGCCGUUGUCAGCCUCGGCAUCCCAAGGCAGACAAACUCGACGAGGGCCGCGCAUGAAUGACUGUGCGCUUCUCUCGAUCCUCGGUGACUUCUCAGACAUAGUCUUUCAAGACGGGCUGCUAGAAGGGCUGGUCCAUGGCCGCUUAUAGGUCCCGCACCGCUGGGCCUCUAGAUGUGCUUUAAGUAUUGCACAUCUCAGUCAAUUUUGCAUGGAGAUUUGCGAGAGUAUUUUUUUUUCUUUUUGUCUGUUUUUAUCUUUGAUUGAGUCACUUAGAUGUAUAAUAACUAGGCCACCCUAGACUAACCCAUAUACUACUUAAGAGAAAAGACAAACACGACAACAGAUUGACAAGAAAAUUCAUUAUUUGUUUAACUACAUUAACAUCAAGAGCUAGCACAUUUAUUCGACAUGGUUCUGGUCAUCCGUGACACUAUGUUUGUAUCAUUUCAGCAACCUCCUGAGGCCUUAUGGAUCCAUCUUGACGUACUGGUUCGCAGCAACAGUAAGACACGGGACCGUCUGAUGAGCAAGCGCCGGGCUUACCGCAUGCUUUUUCACAUAGCUCGGGACACUUAUCCCCGGGAAAUGGACCGAUGUCGCAU
rnacentral:lncRNA from 1 species